CGAUGAUCAAGAAUGAUUUCAUAGACUGGGUUGUAGACGUCGAGGUAAAAGAUCUUGGACCCAAGAUGGGCCAAACUAUUUUGCAUGAGGUCCAAUUCUUUUUGCAAGUAGAAAUUGUAGUUUAUGGCCACGGUGGAGAAACGGUCAAUGCAACGACGGUUGGUCAAAGGUUCGCCGGAGAAAACGGUUAUAACAAUUGGUAAACACCCAAUUGGUGGCAAACCUGCCACCGUUAUUAUCCUUGCUCCUUCAUGCCAUAAAUCCUAACCAUUAUAUAACCAUCAAUAUAAAAGGUAUAUAUCAGAAGGAAUUUUGUAGAAUCAAACUAAACCAGUCGAUGUCCAAAGUCCAAACAAAAACAAAUUGACCCACUAGAAUCGAGCUGAACACUGAUACCAGACCCAUUUUAGUAACUAUGAAAUUUAGUAAUUCGAGCCAAAGCGGAAAGCAUAUAUACCAAGAAGAAUCCGAGAUUCUUCACUUUUAAUGCAAGAGCUCGUCCGCCCGAGUGAUUGCAUGCUGCUUAAUAGUGAUAAUCAGAUGUAUUAACUAUUAACUAAUUAUAAUUUUCAGAAAGAACUGAGAAAGGAAUCAAUAAUUGGUCGGAGUGCCUUAAAGAGAAUAAAGUAAGUCUUCUCACUUGGAUGGAUGGAAUCAAAAAAGACAUAAGCAGAUGUAUUAGGACACACAUAUGACUUUGGAUUGCACAAGACCGAUGCCUCUAAGUAACCAAUUCCACAACAUCCCCUGCUCACUUCUUCAAACCCUAUAACAUACAAAUAUAUAUAAAUAUUGUAUAUAUAUGUUAAAAGAAGAACUCAAUAUUAACAGAAAUUAACGUUAAUUCUUAAAAUUCCUAAACCCUAAAACAAACUUGCAUCAAAAUGAAAACCCAAAACAUAAACUCUUACGCCUGAAAUUUUGAUAGAAAAAUACUAUUUUCAAAUUUCUUAAAAUGCAGUAUAUUUUCUAUCUUGGAUUUAUUUUCUUGUUUAUCCCAAAAACUGUAUCCAGAUUAUGGGUUGAUGUGCUUGCUUACCGAAUCUUCGAUGAUCAAGAAUGAUUUCAUAGACUGGGUUGUAGACGUCGAGGUAAAAGAUCUUGGACCCAAGAUGGGCCAAACUAUUUUGCAUGAGGUCCAAUUCUUUUUGCAAGUAGAAAUUGUAGUUUAUGGCCACGGUGGAGAAACGGUCAAUGCAACGACGGUUGGUCAAAGGUUCGCCGGAGAAAACGGUUAUAACAAUUGGUAAACACCCAAUUGGUGGC
rnacentral:lncRNA from 1 species